AUGGCGCAAGGUUGGAACCCAUACUUGCACAAUUUCAUAUCGUUACCCUCAGACCAUGGAACUCCAGAUGCAGAAGUGGGCCAUCCUCAUCCAGCAGAUGACUUCAUAGGCCAUGGUGGAUUCUCCAGUGCAAGCAUUUCACAUGGUGCCUCUGCGGCAAACACAAACUAUUGUUUCAGUAAUAGUACUGGAAGUAGCAAUUCUAAUUGGAGUUCAGAAAUUGGAAAUUCUCAAAGAAACUACAGAGAAAUGGCAUGGCAAUCUGAUGGAGAACAAAAAGCGUACUUGCCGAGAUGGGACAACAGCGUGUCAAAUUUUGAAGGAAAUGUUUUGGAAACUGAUGGACAUUGUUCAAUUGCACCACAGUUGGGACUUAAACAUGAAUCUGUGGUGCCCAAAGGCUCUCAGUAUCUUGAUAACUACCUGAACAUCCAAGGCUCUUCAGCUGAAGUUAGUGAACCGAGAUCUUGUGACUUCAUGACCAGCUCAUCUGAACAUAACCCUCAAACUGGAACAACUGCAAGGUACAACCCUCAAUGGCUUCAAAGACACACUGAAAAUUCUAUUAUGUCUGCUGACCGUGCAUACUCAAAUAUGUGGCCAAAUUUAGCAGCAGAAAAUGCAACCAAAUGUGUCCAAGAAAAAAGUAUAUCACAUGAGCAUCAUGAAAUUACAUUUGUCAACUCAAAUACAUAUGCUGAUUCAGGGACACAGAGGACAGGUGAUUUUGACCAAACGAACAAACAAACUUUAGUAAACAUUUGUCAGAAUGUUAACUUAACUGAACACUACAAUGGCAUAGACUCACGAAGUAUGAUGGACACAGUUGACAAAAGUAAAGACAAGAAUCUUGAUUCAGCUGCACACGAGGCUUCCACAGAUAAUCAAGCAACAAUUAUACAAACAUCUGAUUCUUGCCUAAAUGAGAAAGAUGACUGUCCAUCUCAAAGUUCAUCUCAGUCCAGUGUUACUAAUGAUUUUGUGAACAGUGAUGUCAGUUUGACUGAUAACAGUGAAGCCAGUAAUGAUUCACAGUCCAGUUUGCACUCUAAAGCUGUGAGUGCAGAUGAAGAGUUUGUAGAAACUGCAGAUUGUUCAGCAUAUUCACCUUCAAGCCCUACAGCCUGUGAUGAUAGUCAUUCUGACAUGUUCCCUGAGUCUCAUAUGGAUUCUUUAACAGACACUGUGGGUGAAGAACAAGUGGCACCGUCAAACGAGGAGGUGGCUGCUUUUUCUUCUUUGAGCAACAGUGACCCUUCUACUGUCAAUGCUGAAGACAUGAAAGAUGACGAGUUGAUUGAAAGUAAUGUGUCAUGUAACAUUGGUUUUAGUGUGAGUACCAUUGACGACAAAACAAAUGAGAGCGAUCCAUUUGAUUCAGCUGCUAAAGCAACUAUUGACGACAAAACAAAUGAGAGCGAUCCAUUUGAUUCAGCUGCUAAAGCAACUAUUGACGACAAAACAAAUGAGAGCGAUCCAUUUGAUUCAGCUGCUAAAGCAACUAUUGACGACAAACAAAUGAGA
rnacentral:lncRNA from 1 species